rnacentral:rRNA from 1 species
UGGCGGCCUCGGGUCCAUCCGGAGGCCACGCCCGUCUGAGGGUCG